rnacentral:rRNA from 1 species
AUUGAACGCUGGCGGCAGGCCUAACACAUGCAAGUCGAGCGAGCGGCGGACGGGUGAGUAAUGUAUGGGGACUGCCUGAUAGAGGGGGAUAACUACUGGAAACGGUAGCUAAUACCGCAUACUAUCAGAUACCCCAUAUGGGAUUAGCUAGUAGGUGGGGUAAUGGCUCACCUAGGCGACGCUCCCUAGCUGGUCUGAGAGGAUGAUCAGCCACACUGGGACUGAGACACGGCCCAGACUCCUACGGAGGCAGCAGUGGGGAAUAUUGCACAAUGGGCGCAAGCCUGAUGCAGCCAUGCCGCGUGUAUGAAGAAGGCCCUAGGGUUGUAAAGUACUUUCAGUCGGGAGGCGUUACCGACAGAAGAAGCACCGGCUAACUCCGUGCCAGCAGCCGCGGUAAUAC